GACGAACGCUGGCGGCGUGCUUAACACAUGCAAGUCGAACGGAAAGGCCCCUUUGGGGGUACUCGAGUGGCGAACGGGUGAGUAACACGUGAGUAACCUGCCCUUGACUUCGGGAUAACUUCAGGAAACUGGGGCUAAUACCGGAUAGGAAUCCUUGCUGCAUGGUGGGGGUUGUAAAGCUUCGGCGGUUUUGGAUGGACUCGCGGCGUAUCAGCUUGUUGGUGGGGUAGUGGCUUACCAAGGCUUUGACGGGUAGCCGGCCUGAGAGGGCGACCGGCCACAUUGGGACUGAGAUACGGCCCAGACUCCUACGGGAGGAAGCAGUGGGGAAUAUUGCACAAUGGGCGGAAGCCUGAUGCAGCAACGCCGCGUGCGGGAUGACGGCCUUCGGGUUGUAAACCGCUUUCAGCAGGGGCGAAGCUUGUGGUGACGGUACCUGCAGAAGAAGCACCGGCUAACUACGUG
rnacentral:rRNA from 1 species